AUGCUCCGAUAUGGGUGUAGGGAGGUUCGAAAUUCAAUUAUGAGUGGAAGGACAAAAAUUUUUACCUUUUCGGCAUCGACGGUGGCUUCGGUGCGGUGGCGACGAUGACCAUUCUUCUUCUUUGGCUACUGGUUCACUUUCCGGCCGCCCCUCUCCUUCUUCUAUGAUCUUCUCUCUGGCGGCUAGGGUUAGGGUUCCCUGUGAAGAAGAGUUUAAAUAGUCAUCUUUAUUAAAUCUGGACCAUCAGUUUGAGGUGACGUGACCCAUCCUCAAUCGUUGUAUAAUACCCAAGCUUAGAAUUUGGCCCGAGAU
rnacentral:lncRNA from 1 species